rnacentral:rRNA from 1 species
GACGAACGCUGGCGUCGUGCUUAACACAUGCAAGUCGAACGGAAAGGCCCUGCUUUUGUUGGGUGCUCGAGUGUCGAACGGGUGAGUAACACGUGAUUAACCUGCCCUUGACUUUGGGAUAACUUCAGGAAACUGGGUCUAAUACCGGAUAGGAGCUCCUGCUGCAUGGUGGGGUUUGGACAGUUUUGGCGGUUGGGGAUGGACUCGCGGCUUAUCAGCUUGUUGGUGGGGUAGUGGCUUACCAAGGCUUUGACGGGUAGCCGGCCUGAGAGGGUGACCGGCCACAUUGGGACUGAGAUACGGCCCAGACUCCUACGGGAGGCAGCAGUGGGGAAUAUUGCACAAUGGGCGGAAGCCUGAUGCAGCAACGCCGCGUGCGGGAUGACGGCCUUCGGGUUGUAAACCGCUUUCGCCUGUGACGAAGCGUGAGUGACGGUAAUGGGUAAAGAAGCACCGGCUAACUACGUG